rnacentral:rRNA from 1 species
GACGAACGCUGGCGGCGUGCCUAAUACAUGCAAGUCGAACGAACGGAUAAAGAGCUUGCUCUUUUGAAGUUAGUGGCGGACGGGUGAGUAACACGUGGGUAACCUGCCUCACAGCUGGGGAUAUCAUCGAGAAAUCGAUGCUAAUACCGAAUGUGCUGAACAUCAUAAGAUGUUCAAGUGAAAGACGGUUUCGGCUGUCACUGUGAGAUGGACCCGCGCUGGAUUAGCUAGUUGGUAAGGUAAUGGCUUACCAAGGCGACGAUCCAUAGCCGACCUGAGAGGGUGAUCGGCCACAUUGGGACUGAGACACGGCCCAAACUCCUACGGGAGGCAGCAGUAGGGAAUCUUCGGCAAUGGACGAAAGUCUGACCGAGCAACGCCGCGUGAGCGAAGAAGGCCUUCGGGUCGUAAAGCUCUGUUGUUAGAGAAGAACAUGGGUGAGAGUAACUGUUCACCCCUUGACGGUAUCUAACCAGAAAGCCACGGCUAACUACGUG